UACGGAGGUUGCAAGCGUUGUUCGGAAUAACUGGGCGUAAAGGGAGCGCAGGCGGUUCGACAAGUCUAAAGUGGAAGCCCGGGGCUUAACCUCGGAAGUGCUUUGGAUACUAUCGAACUCGAGUUCGUGAGAGGAAGGCGGAAUUCCAGGUGUAGCGGUGAAAUGCGUAGAUAUCUGGAGGAACACCGGUGGCGAAAGCGGCUUUCUGGCACGAUACUGACGCUGAGGCUCGAAAGCGUGGGUAGCAAACGGGAUUAGAUACCCCGGUAGUCCACGCUGUAAACGUUGUGCACUAGGUGUGGGAGGUAUCGACCCCUUCCGUGCCGCAGCUAACGCACUAAGUGCACCGCCUGGGGAGUACGGUCGCAAGACUGAA
rnacentral:rRNA from 1 species